GAUGAACGCUGGCAGCGUGCUUAACACAUGCAAGUCGAACGAGAAAUGUAGACGGAAACCUUCGGGCGGAAGCCUUCAUUUCGAGUGGCGGACGGGUGAGUAACGCGUGGGUAACCUGCCUCAUACAGGGGGAUAACAGUUGGAAACGACUGUUAAUACCGCAUAAGACCACAGCAUCGCAUGAUGCGGGGGUAAAAACUCCGGUGGUAUGAGAUGGACCCGCGUUCGAUUAGCCAGUUGGCGGGGUAACGGCCCACCAAAGCGACGAUCGAUAGCCGAUCUGAGAGGAUGACCGGCCACAUUGGGACUGAGACACGGCCCAAACUCCUACGGGAGGCAGCAGUGGGGAAUAUUGCACAAUGGGGGAAACCCUGAUGCAGCGACGCCGCGUGAGUGAAGAAGUACUUCGGUAUGUAAAGCUCUAUCAGCAGGGAAGAAAAUGACGGUACCUGAGUAAGAAGCCCCGGCUAACUACGUG
rnacentral:rRNA from 1 species